GUGGCGACAGUAACAUCUUCGCCAGCGGCGUCACUCUGACGACACAAUCUCAGCGUCUCACAACAAUGUGAGUUUUUCACAGAUUGAAGGCUUUUAUCGUAUUUUUCAUUUAAAUAUAUCUGAUUUCUGAUUGUAAACAGCGAUCAUCGAGCUAACAGACCUAAUUAAUCAUGAUAUUUAAAAUGAUUGUGAAGAUUCAGAUGAAAAGUAUAAAAAGCAAGCCUGGAGCCCAUCAUCUCUCCGUUCAUCAGCCGCUUUUGGAGUCCAGCAGCUGUGCAGGAGACUCAGAAAGAGCAGAACACUGUUAAUCACUCAUCACUUUACAUCAUUUAAUAAUAUAAAUGGUUCACCGGGUUCACAGACAAGUCUUAGACUAAAGCUGUUUCAGCUGAAAGAAACUUGCAUGGAUUGAUCUCAGAAUAAAUCGGUGCCUUUGUUUUGUCUCAAGA